rnacentral:antisense_RNA from 1 species
CUUCACCGAGCCCAAGUACAGCGGCUUCUCACCACGCGACUUCCCGUAGGUGGCCAGCAGUGCCUGUGCCUC